AGAAGCGCUACAAGUGGUGGAGACCAGGAAGAAGGCAUCAGUAGGAAGACACCAGCCAGCAGGAGACACUCUGAGGUUGGAACCGAUCUAAUUCCCGGAUGACCAGCAGGAGGUGCCAUGGCGGGCCGGCUCUACCAUUUUUGCUGCCCCAAGCAGUGCGCCGAAUUGCCGCCACCUCGAGCGGCUGAAGAGAUAGAAGCUGCCACCGAUUUGCCACCGCAGACAGCUGAAGAGAGAGACUGCCGCUGAAUUGCCGCUGCUGUGGAAACGCCCUAAUGGCACACGGACUGCGGCCCCUUGCAGAUUGCCACCCCACGCACCUGCUUGGAAUGCUGGUGUUGGGAGCUGGCCCUUCCCACCCCUAUUUCUUUCUCUUCAAAUUCACCCUUUUUUGCCUUCCUUCCUUCCUGUUUUUCAGUUCUCCUGCCCUUCCUUAAGAGACUUAUGUUCCUAUCACCAGACUGUCACACUAAACUGGGUUUUCUGAAGGCACCGCCUUUAGACAAUUCAGUGCAGCAGAACUACCAAAAUGGCAUGAGUAGCAGGGGAGGUUCAACUUAAUCCAGUGUCAAAAACAUACUUCAAGUCUGAACUCUGUCCUGCUUCUCUAAUGAUGUAUUCUAUUACUGAUGGAACUGAUCAUUCCUACAAAUCACAGUGACAUUGAGGGGAGGAAGGGACCUUUGCGGGCAAUCCUUGCCACUGAUUGUUCUUUAAAGAGGACAUUUAUGUUUCAUACUAGUGCCUUCCCUCUGCCAAGAGGUAUUUCCAGGUUUUAAGCCAUUGCACUAACCUGCUUCUGUUCAGAUGCAAGGGAUCUCUCUCAACUUUAACUAUAUCCCACAAAAGCAGUGACGUACAGUAUUAAGUUCAGAACUAAUGGGUAAUGAUCUCUCCCUUUUGCCUUGACUCCACCUGAAAAUGCAAACCCUGUUGAAUAUCUUUCAGUUAUGAAAUCUUUGAUGUAUACUUCCCACACUUGAAAUGAGUUCUUAAUUUGUUUUGUUCAGACAACCAUGAAGUCCCACAAUCCCCAGGUCCUCUUUCUUUGCUCUUCAAAUGUCUUUUUUUUCUUUUUAUAUGCCCAAGAAUAAUCAGUGCAUUCAAGAAGAAUGAGGCAUGGAAGAGCAAUGUGGUAUUGCUGGUACAGAGGAGAGAGCGCCUGUAAAAGGCAAUGGUAUUUGUUAUGCCAUGAUGCAGGAUUUCCAGCUAAACCCAUGCCUUAAUGAAACAAUUCAAACAACUUGAGAAGCCUUUAGCAAAGAAAAAUCGCCAGCUACCCAGCAAGCUGAUUGACUUCAGCCUGAAAUAACUUGUGUGACGUGUAACACAAAGCGGAAGAUUGCUAUGAUCCAUCACAAGCAUGAGCAGCUAUAUGCAUAUGCAAAUAAGGGCAGCCACUGGACUUGAUCCUCCCUCCACAACAGUGCAACCAGAUUACUGCUGAUCAAGGUCAAAGAUGGUACCUGGCUAAGAAUAUAGGGCUAUUUGUUAAUGAGGUUAAAAACAGGAUAUUUAGGGCCUGGCAAUGAUGAACAAAUAGGGAAAGGAAGCAUAAAGGACACCCAUUUGAACAGACACACACUGGGAUAGUCAUGAUCCCGGUCCUGAGAGCAAAGAUUAGGGAGCGUUGGCACUGCUAUCAGUGCUAGACUUACCAAGGAGAUAGAGCCAUGGCCCCACCCUUUCUGCAAAAGCUGUUGCAGUGAGAGAGAGAGUUGACACACCUCCAAGAUGAAGGGGUAAGAUGCAAAUUCUUAGUGUGCAACCUCCUAACCCCAAGAUGCAUUCUACUUACCUGUGUGCCACCAAGGCAGAAUACCUGGGAGGGACUCAUCUGUAUAGCAUCUCUCCAGAGACUAUACUUCCACGAAAGCUGAGCCCCAUCAAGAUGUUAAAGAGACCAAAAAGCCCAUAGUUGAAGGAGCAUCUGCUGAAAAUCUACCAAAAUUAUACACUGAACAACUCUCCUACACUUCUGUCCAUGGGGAGGAUUUUUAAAAAAGAGACUACUGCAUCUAAUAAUCCAGUUGUGAAAUUAACAGGCAAAAACAUCAUAUGAAUGACGUUUACCCAGUGAUUUCCCAGGAGAAGUUCAAUUAACAGGUCAAUGUUCUGACACUUCCUAACCAUGAAAGGCGGUGCUAAAAUAAAGCUGCAGUUAGAAGCCUUACACAUUUUGGACUAUGGAGAUUUACCAAAUGGUAGCAAAAUUCUUCAUGAAAAUGUUUGCCACUUGUGACAAACUCUGAGGCUCGGAUCUAACUAAACUGACCUGCAUGAAGACAAGAGCAUUCAAAACAUGAGACAAGACAGUAGAUACUACAUUUUCAAAACAGUGCCCAAAGAAUUGAUUUCUCCAAGCAUUUCUUUAAAAUCUGUUCCCACUUUGCUAUUCCUAUAGUUUAAUUUAAAGAACUGGUUGAGUGUAUAGAUUUCCUAGUAAUUAAGUAAAAGAGAAGCAUUAAUGUACACAUUUGCUAUUGUUUCAUAUAUUGUGUGGAAUUUAUAAUGUGAAGGUAAAUUACAUAUAGUCAGGGCCAUCAAUACCUUUUUUGGUAAAGUGUUUUGUGUGGAAACAGCACACUGUCCCAUUAAGAAUCCUGCAAAGUAAGGACACUACUCA